GCAAUCACAGCUCGCGAUACGUUGAAUGAAUUACGUAGAACGCAUUAGUUAUAGAUUGAUGAGUACUUCAUUGAAUCGAUGAAUGGUUCAUAGUUAAUUCCGCAUUCAUUAUGAUAGUAAUCAGAAUAUAUCAGAUGAUAUAUUUCGGUCGGGCGGCACAAACAUUUCCAUGAUAAACCAGCUGGAAUUGCUAUUUUAUACUUCAUGUGAUUUAGAUUGUAUUAAUCCCGCAACCAUAAUAUAAUUUCAGUUAUUUAUAGGUUUUUUAAUGGAUCUAUUUGGAAUUUGUUUGAAAUCGCCAAUGCGACGAAUGUGAUUCAUUAUAUAAUAUAUUAGUAUGAUAAAGUGGUUUGAUCGGAUCGUCACUGGAACUGUUAUAUCACUGAUAACUGAGAGUGUUUUAAAUGCAAUCAUUUUCCAUGACAUGUCAGCCGACGAUAGCUAAUGGGACCACUUGACUUGAAAAGGUGGCCUGUCUCCUGUCGUGAGACGUAAGUCUAGGUCGAUCAAGGUGUCAAAACAGUUUCUCGAAGCCACCUUGAAUACAUCGUGUGAGGUACAUAAAGGUUGUUUCAAGGUUGAAAGUGGUGGGUGGAGAUCCUGAAAUGAACCCAAACCAAGUACUUCAAUAGAAGUAAAAUUUCACGGCCUCAGAUUUACCGGAAGCAGUAAUACUUCUUGUGUUUGGAGCCACAGUUCUCACUACCGAAUAGCUACUAUCUACCAACCUCUGAUAUAAUUGCUGGAAACGAGAAAGAUCAUGCCUGAAAGGAAGUAACGCCGGCUGCCACUGGUAACCAUAAACCAAACGUGAUGUAGCUGAGAGCGUGGG